AUUGUGGUUACAAGCGCCAUGUUAGCGGAUAUAGCUCUUUGUUUACAUGCCGAGUUGAUCAGAAGUCACGUCUGCACACACGUCUUGCUUUGCUUCCCUUUUUUUUGUGUUGGUAAAAUGGUUCGCUCAUGCUGCGUGAAUAAUUGCCAUAGUAAGUCCCACGACUUGAAUUGUAAAAAACUCAACAACCAGUUACGGUUUUUUAGGUUUCCCUUAUGGAAAAAGCGCUUUGGGACACAAGCAGAGGAUAUAUCCAAGAGGAGGCGGAUGGCCUGGGUUAAAGCGGUGAACCGGAAAUCCAUCACCUUCGCCAGUGUAUCUAAGUACAUGCUUGUUUGCUCUCGACACUUUCAUAAGGGCGAACCUGCUUAUGAAAUGAGGGAGACUGAUCCAGACUGGGCACCAUCUCUACAUAUGGGCCACACAGACAGUACGCAGAGAUACGGCCGGCAAACAGCUGAUAUGGAUGUCAAUCAGGCUGAAGAAAACCAUCAGUAUCCCAAUGAGGGGGAAGCAAAUGAAGCUGGAAGAAGGGAUCCACUACAGACUGAGAACUUGGCUCAGGCGUCCACAGAAAGUGUCCAAGAGGGCACCGAAGAUGGCGACCCUGGAGAAAGUGGCCAGGAAAACACUGAGGAAGGAACCCACAACACCAGCCGGGAGGUGGCAGAUUUUCAAUGUAAUCUGAACCUGAAUGUACGACCAGAAAAUAUACGAAUUGUAAAAUUUGAGUUUUAUUAAUCACAACGCUCGGGGUGAAUUUUAAGAUGCAUUCUUCGAGACGGACUGUUUAAAUCAUAACUUUCACAAAAAGAUUAAUUUGUGUUUACAGGCUUUGUGAGUUCAUGAAAGCCAGCGAAGCUUUGCUGAUACUGGUUCAAAAUGUUGGCUCUCCUAUGGCACCACCUGCUGGAGUGAAAAUGCCCAAGACAAACAUGCUACACAAAAGACAUCAGGCAAUCUAAUGAUCUAUUUGAUCAACGAUGCAAAUAAGAGAAGAAUAGAUCUAUUAGGAGACACACUGGUUGUAGGUUGAAAUAAGACAAAAAGGCUUUUUGUAUGUGGUUAAAAACUUUUGCACAAGACAGAAAAAGCUUCAUAGAAAGUUCAGAUGAGAGGAAAUCUGAGUCCUAUUAAUUUAAAUACUACAAUGAAGUGUUGUAGUACUCGAACCGGUCUCAAGACCACUUUUUGAAGGUCUUGUUCUUGUCUCUGAAUCGAAAGCAUUUUAACUCGGCCUUGUCCCGGUCUCAGACUGGGCAGACUCUGGAUUUGAAAUCAAGACCACCACUGAAAGGCUUUUUUUUUCCAAGUCAUUGCUGUGAUUAGAAGAAAAAUGCCAGUUUCACUGACAUUUAUGGUCUUGUCUCAGUCCUGUCUUUGUCUUGGUUCGGUCUUGAUCCAUAAAUGUCCUGGUCUUGUCUCGGUCUCGCCCUGCCUUGGUCUUGGUCUUGACUCUCUCUAAAUGUCUUGGUCUUAUCUCGGUCUCUGAGCACCCUGGUCUCGGUUAUGUGGUCUUGACACACUAUCAGAUGUUAAAGAUUCUUACCUGAGCAAAGAGAAAACACUGUAGGAGUUCCUGACUGAACUCUGGUCGACCUGGAGCAGACUGUUUUUCUUCCGCUCCGACUGAUCCUGAAACAGCCACAUGUCAGUGUUGAAUAUGAGGCUAAUGAGAUUAACAAUGGAUAGCUCAUAAUGAUGCAGAUGCUCUGAAAGAUUGACCACAGGCCGUACCUUAUGAUCAAAGUCAGCUGCAUAGUAGCCAUCAUUCAAACCAAAGAUGAUCUCAUUUGGGUUUCUGGAUCGAAUCUGUGGACAAAGCGAGGCAGCAGAGAAUCAUUGCAGAGAACAAAGGACAGCGGGAAUCUGGAUGUGCAUGAGACGCUGCUAUCUGUUUAUGAGCUUUGAAAAUGGUCUCACUGUGAAGGAAUGGCAAUAACCCUGACUUCUUCUACAGCAUUCACAUUUUCAUGGACUUGUUUCUCAGAACAGAGCUUCAAUGUGCAGAAUUUAGGCUUAAAGGAGAUAAUUAAUCCUUUAAACACUCACAUGCAGAAAGAAUUAAAAGUCAAAAUCACAUGUUCAUUCUUCACACUGCAGACUGUUAGGAUGGUUUUAAUGUUUGUAACUGAUGGUUCACAUCUCUGAAUCAGUGCAAUGUGUGUGCUCUCAUUAUAACAUCAUCAACCUGGUAUGCUGCAUCGCUACGUGAUUGCUUAUAACUGCCAUUUAUUUCAAAUGUGAGGAAAUAGACUAGAAAAAUAAACCUUGUAAUGAA